UGAAAGGCGAAACGUAAUGUGAAUCGCAACUAACAGUGAAUCAUCGAAUCUUUGAACGCAGGCCGCACUUUCCGGCGUCUCAUUUCGGUGAAAUGCCGGGAAGUAUCUAUAUAUGAGUGCUAGUCAAUGUAAUUUGGUAUAGGAAGGAUAUUAAAUAGAAAAUUCCUAAAUACAAACGAUGUCAAAAGUAAGACAGAUAGAUAUUAUCACAUUGAGAUUAUUUUUUGUCUGGCCUCAUAUAUGGAAGGUUACCCGCUGGAUUUAA
rnacentral:misc_RNA from 1 species